GUUCCUGUAGUGUAAUGGUUAUCACGUUUGCCUGACAUGCUAAAGGUCCUUGGUUUGAAACCGGGCAGGAACG